rnacentral:rRNA from 1 species
GACGAACGCUGGCGGCGUGCUUAACACAUGCAAGUCGAACGGAAAGGCCCUGCUUUUGUGGGGUGCUCGAGUGGCGAACGGGUGAGUAACACGUGAGUAACCUGCCCUUGACUUUGGGAUAACUUCAGGAAACUGGGGCUAAUACCGGAUAGGAGCUCCUGCGGCAUGGUGGGGGUUGGAAAGUUUCGGCGGUUGGGGAUGGACUCGCGGCUUAUCAGCUUGUUGGUGGGGUAGUGGCUUACCAAGGCUUUGACGGGUAGCCGGCCUGGGAGGGUGACCGGCCACAUUGGGACUGAGAUACGGCCCAGACUCCAACGGGAGGCAGCAGUGGCGAAUAUUGCACAAUGGGCGGAAGCCUGAUGCAGCAACGCCGCGUGCGGGAUGACGGCCUUCGGGUUGUAAACCGCUUUCGCCUGAGACGGAGCGUGAGUGACGGUAAUGUGUAAAGAAGCACCGGCUAACUACGUG